UUGCUAUGUUACCCAGAGUACUGGAGUGCAGUGGCAUGAUCCUCAACUCCCCAGGCCAAGUGAUUCUACUACUUCAGCCUUGGGAGUGGCUGGAACCACAGGCGUGCACCACCAUGCCCAGGACACAAUUGGAGAAACUGGUUAUUUCACCAAGGCUUUGACUGGAAUGGUGUGCCUUCCUUCAAGGAAUCAAACUGGACUUAUGAAGCCAAUAAAGCCCUUGGGAAACUGGCCUCGUAUUUUGUGUACACAGUCCCUGUACAGGGUUUCUGAUCUGUGGGAUCCCGUUUCUUUUUGGGGGAUUACAGUAAGUAUAACACAGAAGGAUCAAAUGCUUCCCUCUGCCACGGCGUAUGGAGACAAAGGGCAGUGCAAGAUGCAACAGGCUUUGUCUGCUCCUGGUAGGCCUGCCUUUCACACAACUGCUCCAAAUAGUGAAGACAAUAUAAUAAGUAAGAGCCAGGAAAAGUCCUGUCUUGGCUGUCCAUCAGAUAACAAUGGAAUAGGUGUGGAAGGCUGCUGCUGGCCCUCACCAUCGUCUUCACUACUCAUAGUCUGCCUUCUUCCCGUUCUCUCAGAUCUUCAUUCCCCCAACUCAGCUCACUUAACACUUAACAAAGCAAACCCCAGGCAUGACUCCUUUUCUCAGCUGCCCUUGGCAUUCACAUAAUUUCCAUCCUCUCUGCCCCUGGUGGGAGGGGAGGAGCACACCUGGCCAGCCUCCGGCACGAAUUGCUUAGUGCUUGCCCCUCUGUCUCCCUAUCACAGCCACAAGUGCCAUGCAGAUUGCAGUUUUCUGGUUUUCAAGGUCAUCUCCACUAACCCAAAGCACAUUCCAAUGGGUUUCAAUUUCCAGCUGCUCCCCUGAGAUUCAGGCCACUGUUCACAAUGCUCUCUGAAUCCAGCCAGUGCCCUGCCUCAUUCCAGCAGUCGGGAAUGCUCAGCUUUGGAAGC